UACGAAGGGGGCUAGCGUUGCUCGGAAUCACUGGGCGUAAAGCGCACGUAGGCGGCUCUUUAAGUCGGGGGUGAAAUCCUGGAGCUCAACUCCAGAACUGCCUUCGAUACUGAAGAGCUUGAGUCCGGGAGAGGUGAGUGGAACUGCGAGUGUAGAGGUGAAAUUCGUAGAUAUUCGCAAGAACACCAGUGGCGAAGGCGGCUCACUGGCCCGGUACUGACGCUGAGGUGCGAAAGCGUGGGGAGCAAACAGG
rnacentral:rRNA from 1 species